rnacentral:rRNA from 1 species
UACGUAGGGUGCGAGCGUUAUUCGGAAUUAUUGGGCGUAAAGGGCGCGUAGGCGGCUUUAUAAGUCGGGGGUGAAAGCCUGUGGCUCAACCACAGAAUUGCCUUCGAUACUGUAGAGCUUGAGACCGGAAGAGGUAAGUGGAACUGCGAGUGUAGAGGUGAAAUUCGUAGAUAUUCGCAAGAACACCAGUGGCGAAGGCGGCUUACUGGUCCGGUUCUGACGCUGAGGCGCGAAAGCGUGGGGAGCAAACAGG